CCUCUGACGGACCGACGUGCUGUUGAUGCGGAGGCAAAGAGAAGAAGGACCGAACAUGGCCGGCUCGCUCCAAUUAGGAGAUACUGAGCGGGCAGUUAUGGCAGGUGUGCCUGUUGCACUCCAAGGUGCACUUCCGCCGGUACCGUCCACACCGUUAACGGUCUCCACACCCCAGGUUAACCCACAGGCCCCUACAGCUGUGUCCUCAGGCACUGCCACCUUUGCUACCACUAUGACAUCACUGAGAUCAGUUCUGCCACUCCUGAAAGAAAAUCCCUGCUUUAGGGUCCUUCUUGAGAAGCCUGAAGAACCCAGUGAUAUUACAGCAGCUGUUGUGGCUGCCCUCCUGAAACCCAACUACUCUGUUCUGGGAAGCAACAGAAGACCAAGAGAGGAGUUAAUGGUGGUUAAGUUCAGAGAGUUUCUCCAAUGUGUACAAGAGAAAGAAGUUGGUGAACAUCUUCAUUCCAGGACCCUUACUGAGGAAGAGCAGGCGUUUAUCCUGACAUUGAAUCCUGCAUAUCUAGACAUGCACAGACACAAUAAAGCCAGUAAACCAAUGGGUGGUUUUGCUGAUUUAUUUUCCUGUAUACAUUUCAGCUUUACUUAUUGUUGGUUAAAACAUUUCAGGCUAAUGUUGAAACUGUUUAGCCUUUCUACCAAUCUGCUCAAAAAGUAUUUACAGUACAGCAUUGUUAAAUGUACACCACUACUGAUUGACAUGUUAAUGUUACAUUCUUUACUUAAGUACCUUCAUUAUUAUUGGCUCAAGAGUUGUUUGUCUAGUGUGAAAAGCUGAAGUGGGGUUCUGUUUACUUGAGAUGUGAUUGAAUGAUUGUUAAAUGCAGCUUUAAACUCAUCUAAUGUGCAAUUGAUCCUUAGAAUGUGCACAAAAUGAAGACAAAAUAAUUCCCAUUCAUUGUCUACAUCCAAGGCCUCCAUUGACUCCAGUUCAUAGAAAAUAUCAAGCAUCCAAUUCCUAAUCAGAAAUGGUACUGAAUUUUGUGUGCCUUAUGUUGUAUUCCCACAUCAGCUUGUAUAAAGUGGGUCCGGUGAUCCACAGGACUGAAGCCACUUCAGAAAGCGUUGUUCCCAGCAGCAGCAAACCCUCAAUGUCCUCUUUGGAAAGUACUGUAUGCCCAUCCUACAAAAAAUGGAAAAAACACAUCAUGAAUUGCACUGAACUAAUCAACCUGUUAUCAUUUCCUACGUGCAGCCAUGUUGACUGCAUAGUCAAAUCCC
rnacentral:lncRNA from 1 species